AUUAUUAUAUAAAGUAUGGUUUUCAAAGUUACUAAUUCAUAGGAUCGUGCCAGGUGUCAAGUCAAACGAUCAAAUGUUUACAUGUGCCAUUAAAAAUUUAACUUUUUUAUUCUCUUA
rnacentral:sRNA from 1 species